AGUCUGGCUUGAGUUGAACCAACUACUUGCUACUAAUAAGAAUUUAUCAGCUAUUCAGCAUCAACAUCAAAAGACAAUGAAAACCUUAGAAAAAUAAUUAAAAGGUAGACGUCAUGAAGGACCAAGAUGAUGGCCAACACAUUUGAAGAAAAUCUGGAUAUAAAAGUUGAACGUAUGUGAAGAAAUAUGGCUGAAGCAAAAUGCAGAACUGUUAAAGCCACUCAGUACUUACCAACCAGCAGACAUUCUGUAUUAGUUUCCUAAUGCUGCUAUAACAAGUUGCUACAGUGAAGGGCUUAAAGCAAUCAAUUCCCUGGUUGUUCUGGGAAUCCGAAGUCUGCAAUGAAUCAUAAGGGAUCUCUUUCAUCUCUAGGUGUUAGGGGGAAAUGCUAGAGAAAGGACACAACGGAUGCUGAAUUCCGGACUUCAUCCUGAGUCAGACGGCAGUGCACAAAUGUCAAAGCAGGUUUUGCAGAUCCGUAAACUCCACACAUUGGAUCAUAAGAAGUCAACCUUGUGGAAACAGACAUUAAAAUAGCAUUUUUCCCUUCCUUUUUUGAAAA